GAAUAAGAAGCAAUUAAUUGCAAUCAGUUUCGACCUGAUAGUCAGAUAAUAUUUAUCCUUAUUUU
rnacentral:tRNA from 1 species